rnacentral:lncRNA from 1 species
GAUGGAUCGCCAGAGGACCAGGUGUUUUCAGAGGGCCUUGUAGACACGGUGAAGGAGGCGUCUUUGAUCAUCAGUUCAGCCCAGUUUACUGGGCUAGGAUAAGGGGUUCCAAGAUCAAAAGCAUAUGUGUGCAAAAUAUCUUGAGGUCCAAGCUCAGGACUGGCACAGCAUCACUUCUGCAUUUUGUUCUCCAAAGCAAGUCCCAAAGGCAGCCAGACUCAAUGGUUGGAGAAAUCAACUCCACCGCUUGACAGGAGGAGCAACAAAUAUUUCUGGCCAGGCUUUGCAAUGUACCACAGAGCUGAAGAACAGAUAUGGAAGUCAUCAAAAUAUCAAUAACAGGUGUAGGUACAAUUUCCCAGGGAAAUGAGUAGGGUGAGAAGAGAACCCAGAGCAGAAUGUGGAACCCCAAGGUACACUAUGACACAGAUUGUAGAAGAUUCCAUGAAAUAAACAGAAGUAGCACCCAGGGAUAUAGGAGGUAACUAGAAGAUGGCUGAGUCAUAGCAAAGAAAAUGAUGUUUUAAGAAGGAAAGUGUUAUGGUUCGAAUGUGGUUUGUCCCCUCCAAAACUUAAGUUAAAAUUUAAUUGUCAAUGUAACCACAUUGGGAGGUGAGGCCUUCAAGAAGUGAUUAGGCCAGUAAGAAGAAUUAAUGUCUUUCUCACAAGACCAGGUUAGUUCUCCAGAGAGCAGGUUUUUUAUAAAGCGAGGUCAUGCCUCAUGUUUUGUCCUUUUUACAUGUACACUUCCUGUUUUGCCUCUCUGCCACAUUGUGAUGCUAUACAAGACCCUCACCAGAAGUGGACCAGAUGCAGCUGUCUGAUCUUGCACUUCCCAGCCUCCAGAAUCUAGAGCCAAAUGAACCUCUUUCUUUAUAAAUUACCCAGUCUCACGCAUUCCGUUAUAGCAACAUAAAACAAAGACUGAAGGUAUGUAAUAUAAUGCCAAGAGAAAAGUACUAAUCAGGCCAAGCACAGUUUCAGCAAGGUGUUAAAAAAAAAAAAACCCUAAUAUCUGAAUAAUGCUUAUGUAGCUUGAUAACAUUUAGAAAUUAAUUUCUGGGGUUUCUCCAGAUAUUUUCUCUUUUUCUUUCUGCUGUACUACUACUGUGUCCAUAAUUGGUUCCUUCCUGUGGGUUCUUGGUCUCGCUGACUUAAAAAUGAAGCUGCAGACCCUCGCGGUGAGUGUUACAGUUCUUAAAGAUGGUGUGUCUAGAGUUUGUUCCUUCAGAUAUUCAAAUGUGUCCGACGUUUCUUCCUUCUGGUGGGUUCACGGUCUCUCUGACGUCAGGAAUGAAGCCGCAGACCUUCACAGUGAGUGUUACAGCUCUUAAAGGUGGCACAUCCGGAGUUGUUUGUUUCUCCGGGUGGGUUCGUGGUCUCGCUGACUUCAGGAGUGAAGCCGCAGGUCUUGGCAGUAUUACAGCUCAUAAAGGUAGUGCAGACCCAAAAAGUGAGCAGCAGCAAGAUUUAUUGUGAAGAGCAAAAGAACAAACCUUCCACAGCACAGAAGUCGACCCGAGUGGGUUGCCACAGCUGGCCAGGGGUGGCCAGCUUUUAUUCCCUUAUUUGGCCCCACCCACAUCUUGCUGAUUGGUCCAUUUUACAGAGCGCUGAUUGGUCCAUUUUUACAGAGCACUGAUUGAUGUGUUUACAAUCCUUUAGCUAGACAGAAAAGUUCUGCAAGUCCCCACCUGACCCAGAAGCCCAUCCGGCUUCACCUCUCACUACUACUGGGGUCUUUCUGCCCUCCCCAGCCACUUAAACAGGAAGAAAGCUCAAUGCUUUAUUGCUUCAUGGGUGGUCUGUGGCAGGCUGGAGGGCUCACUAUGCUUGCAAGAUGUCUUCAUCUUGUUUUCAAUAGGCUAAGCUCAGAGGAGAAAACAAGAUUGGCAGAGCAAUAGAAGAGAACCAGGACUUGGAAGAAGCAGGAGGCAGAGAGGGGGUGACACCUCAAAGAAAGAAUUGGCAAAAAUGGGAUCAUAAGGACAGUGGUUCCUGGCUUCUCCCAAGAUUCUAUAUUCAAAAAGGAACCUGAACUUGAGAGCAGAGGGUGGGAAGGACAAUGGCUCCACCAGCAGUUACUUGGCUGAGCAGAUGGUAAUGACCAGGGGCCACCAUCAGCGCAUUGGCUCAUCAUGUGGGCUCAGAACCUUAAAAAGACCCUGAGGGACUUUAUGUCCCAAAUAGAGUAUGUGAGAUGGAAUUACAAACUACUGAGAGGCUAAUUUAUUCACAAAUAAAGAAAUGUGCUAUUUCGCAU